CUGGGCGUAAGGAUGCGUAGGCGGAUGUUUAAGUGAGAUGUGAAAUACCCGAGCUUAACUUGGGUGCUGCAUUUCAAACUGGAUAUCUAGAGUGCGGGAGAGGAGAAUGGAAUUCCUAGUGUAGCGGUGAAAUGCGUAGAGAUUAGGAAGAACACCAGUGGCGAAGGCGAUUCUCUGGACCGUAACGGACGCUGAGGCAUGAAAGCGUGGGUAGCAAACAGGAUUAGAUACCCUGGUAGUCCACGCCGUAAACGAUGAGUACUAGGUGUAGGAGGGUCCAACCUUCUGUGCCGCAGUUAACACAAUAAGUACUCCGCCUGGGAAGUACGAUCGCAAGAUUAAAACUCAAAGGAAUUGACGGGGGCCCGCACAAGCAGCGGAGCAUGUGGUUUAAUUCGAAGCAACGCGAAGAACCUUACCUGGACUUGACAUCCCCUGAAUAGUGCAGAGAUGCAUGAAGCCCUUCGGGGCAGGGAGACAGGUGGUGCAUGGUUGUCGUCAGCUCGUGUCGUGAGAUGUUAGGUUAAGUCCUGCAACGAGCGCAACCCCUAUCAUUAGUUGCUACCAUUAAGUUGAGCACUCUAGUGAGACUGCCCGGGUUAACCGGGAGGAAGGUGGGGAUGACGUCAAAUCAUCAUGCCCCUUAUGUCCAGGGCUACACACGUGCUACAAUGGUGGAUACAAAGAGAUGCAAGACCGCGAGGUGGAGCCAAACUCAAAAAUCCAUCCCAGUUCGGAUUGUAGGCUGCAACUCGCCUACAUGAAGCCGGAGUUGCUAGUAAUCGCGAAUCAGAAUGUCGCGGUGAAUACGUUCCCGGCCCUUGUACACACCCCCCGUCACUCC
rnacentral:rRNA from 1 species